CCUACGGGUGGCAGCAGUGGGGAAUAUUGCACAAUGGGGGAAACCCUGAUGCAGCGACGCCGCGUGAGUGAAGAAGUAAUUCGUGAUGUAAAGCUCUAUCAGCAGGGAAGCAAAUGACGGUACCUGAGUAAGAAGCCCCGGCUAACUACGGGCCAGCAGCCGCGGUAAUACGUAGGGGGCAAGCGUUAUCCGGAUUUACUGGGUGUAAAGGGAGCGUAGACGGCAGUGCAAGUCUGGAGUGAAAGGCGGGGGCGCAACCCCCUGAGUGCUCUGGAAACUGUACGGCUGGAGUGAAGGAGAGGUAAGUGGAAUUCCUAGUGUAGCGGUGAAAUGCGUAGAGAUUAGGAGGAACACCAGUGGCGAAGGCGGCUUACUGGACUGUAACUGACGUUGAGGCUCGAAAGCGUGGGGAGCAAACAGGAUUAGAUACCCGAGUAGUC
rnacentral:rRNA from 1 species